ACCCGCUGAACUUAAGCAUAUCAAUAAGCGGAGGAAAAGAAACCAACAGGGAUUGCCUCAGUAACGGCGAGUGAAGCGGCAAAAGCUCAAAUUUGAAAUCUGGCUCUUUCAGGGUCCGAGUUGUAAUUUGUAGAAGAUGCUUCGGGUGUGGUCCCGGUCUAAGUUCCUUGGAACAGGACGUCAUAGAGGGUGAGAAUCCCGUAUGUGACUGGGUACCUACGCUCAUGUGAAGCUCUUUCGACGAGUCGAGUUGUUUGGGAAUGCAGCUCAAAAUGGGUGGUAAAUUUCAUCUAAAGCUAAAUAUUGGCCAGAGACCGAUAGCGCACAAGUAGAGUGAUCGAAAGAUGAAAAGCACUUUGGAAAGAGAGUUAAACAGUACGUGAAAUUGUUGAAAGGGAAGCGCUUGCAAUCAGACUUGCGCCUAGUCGAUCAUCCGGGCUUCUGCCCGGUGCACUCGAUUAGGCUCAGGCCAGCAUCGGUUUGGGUGGUUGGAUAAAGGCUUGGGGAACGUAGCCUCCUUCGGGGGGUGUUAUAGCCCCAGGUGCAAUGCAGCCUACCUGGACCGAGGACCGCGCUUCGGCUAGGAUGCUGGCGUAAUGGUUGU
rnacentral:rRNA from 1 species